rnacentral:rRNA from 1 species
GAUGAACGCUGGCGGCGUGCCUAAUACAUGCAAGUCGAGCGAAGCGGGGACGGGGGAGUAACAUGUGGAUAACCUCCUAUAAGACUGGGAUAACUUCGGGAAACCAGAGCUAAACCGGCUAAUUAUAGAUGAUUCCGCGUGGCAUUAGCUAGUUGGUAAGGUAACGGCUUACCAAGGCAACGAUGCGUAGCCGAUCUGAGAGGGUGAUCAGCCACACUGGAACUGAGACACGGUCCAGACUCCUACGGGAGGCAGCAGUAGGGAAUCUUCCGCAAUGGGCGAAAGCCUGACGGAGCCACGCCGCGUGUGUGAUGAAGGUCUUCGGAUCGUAAAACUCUGUUAGGAGGGAAGCGGUACCUAAUCAGAAAGCACCGGCUAACUACGUGCCAGCAGCCGCGGUAAUUC